GAUGAACGCUGGCGGCGUGCUUAACACAUGCAAGUCGAACGGAAAGGCCGAAGCUUGCUUCGGUACUCGAGUGGCGAACGGGUGAGUAACACGUGGGUGAUCUGCCCUGUACUUCGGGAUAAGCUUGGGAAACUGGGUCUAAUACCGGAUAUGACGAUCUCUUGGAUGGGGUUGUGGAAAGCUUUUGCGGUAUGGGAUGAGCUCGCGGCCUAUCAGCUUGUUGGUGGGGUAAUGGCCUACCAAGGCGUCGACGGGUAGCCGGCCUGAGAGGGUGUACGGCCACAUUGGGACUGAGAUACGGCCCAGACUCCUACGGGAGGCAGCAGUGGGGAAUAUUGCACAAUGGGCGCAAGCCUGAUGCAGCGACGCCGCGUGGGGGAUGACGGCCUUCGGGUUGUAAACUCCUUUCGCAAUCGACGAAGCCUUUUGGUGACGGUAGGUUGAGAAGAAGCACCGGCUAACAACGUG
rnacentral:rRNA from 1 species